AUGUGGAGCAAAUGCUAUUUGCAAUUCCCUGACUCAAGAGUGAUUUCUGGGAAGUGGCAAGAGGUGACUCCACAAAGAUCCUUGCCGGCCCCUACAAAGACAAGACUUUUUAUGGGGCUGGCACUCUGCCAGCAUGAGAGGAAGUGGGAAGAAACCAGGCAGCUGACUCCAGGUCCCAGCCUGACCAGCAUCAGCUUUUUUCCAGGGACCAGGAGCCCCACAACCCAACCAGAAGUGUUCACCACAGAUGUGAUAGCAGAUUCAGAGAAGGAAACUAAAAGCUGUGAGUGAAUGGCUUAUUGGUGAGUCACAGGUUUCAGAAACACACCCAAUUUUUGAAAUAACCUCAAUGUUGGACAUAAUAUAAUCUCCUAUCAAAUAUGGAAUUAAAAAAACUAUAAAUGUAUUCAUUUUUUGGAUUCUGAUUUUCUUCAAAACCAAUGCACACAUGAAAUCACUGAUGUUUACUACUUGUCCAAUUUUAUUGUAUUUGCUAAAACAUCUUUGGUCUAACAAGAAACUGUAGGAUUUUCUUUGGUUCUGAGGGCCAUGUGCUGGUCCCUAGGGAAUUACUGGGCUUAGUGACACCAUGGGCUGAAGGUAAGAAAAAGAACUUGCAUCUGAGCCUCAGCCUUUGUCACCUUCUGCUCCACACCACCUGGUCAUUCUAUUUGUCCUUCCAUGGCUUCCUUUACUGCACCUACCCAAUUUUAUAGUCACUUUCCUGCCCAAAUAAUCUCUAGAUUACUAGACCCACAUAUAAACCCUUUCCUACUAAGAUGUCUGUGAUUUUUUUUACUCCUACAAGCAGCUGCAUCUUAACACAAACAAUAGGAAAAGGGCAAUGCUGAACUGAAAAGAUGGGGUCACUGGUCUCACUGGAUUGGAGGAGCUGGAUGAGAGUAUGUACUUCUAGAAGUCCUUCACCUCUGUUGAAUGGAAAUUUGGUCUCCACCUACAGUAUUCUGAAAAAGGCAAGCCCCUGCUGAAGAAGCACAUGAGGAAAGUGGAAUUAACUUGACUAAA
rnacentral:lncRNA from 1 species